GUCAGGAUGGCCGAGCGGUCUAAGGCACUGCAUUAAGGCCGCAGUCUCCCCUGGAGGCAUGGGUUCGAAUCCCACUCCUGACA
rnacentral:tRNA from 2 species